rnacentral:piRNA from 1 species
UGGGAAACUUAAAGGGCGGUUAGUGUGAUC